rnacentral:rRNA from 1 species
AUUGAACGCUGGCGGCAGGCCUAACACAUGCAAGUCGAACGAGUGGCGGACGGGUGAGUAAGGUCUGGGAAAGUGCCUGAUGGAGGGGGAUAAGUACUGGAAACGGUAGCUAAUACCGAAUUGCAUAAGAUGUGCCCAGAUGGGAUUAGCUGGUUGGUGGGGCAACGGCUCACCAAGGCGACGAUCCCUAGCGGGUCUGAGAGGAUGACCAGCCACCCUGGAACUGAGACACGGUCCAGACUCCUACGGGAGGCAGCAGUGGGGAAUAUUGCACAAUGGGCGCAAGCCUGAUGCAGCCAUGCCGCGUGUAUGAAGAAGGCCUUCGGAUUGUAAAGUACUUUCAGCGGGGAGGCGUUACCCGCAGAAGAAGCACCGGCUAACUCCGUGCCAGCAGCCGCGGUAAUAC